rnacentral:rRNA from 1 species
GGACCCGCACAAGUAGUGGAGCAUGUGGUUUAAUUCGAAGAUACGCGCAGAACCUUACCAACACUUGACAUGUUCGUCGCGACUUUAAGAGAUUAAAGUUUUCGGUUCGGCCGGACGAAACACAGGUGCUGCAUGGCUGUCGUCAGCUCGUGUCGUGAGAUGUUGGUUAAGUCCCGCAACGAGCGCAACCCUCACUUUUAGUUGCCAUCAUUUAGUUGGGCACUCUGAAAGAACUGCCAGUGAUAAGCUGGAGGAAGGUGGGGAUGACGUCAAGUCCUCAUGGCCCUUACGUGUUGGGCUACACACGUGCUACAAUGGUAUCUACAGUGGGUUAAUCCCCAAAAGAUGUC